rnacentral:rRNA from 1 species
CUUAGGCGUGUGACUGCGUACCUUUUGUAUAAUGGGUCAGCGACUUAUAUUCUGUAGCAAGGUUAACCGAAUAGGGGAGCCGAAGGGAAACCGAGUCUUAACUGGGCGUUAAGUUGCAGGGUAUAGACCCGAAACCCGGUGAUCUAGCCAUGGGCAGGUUGAAGGUUGGGUAACACUAACUGGAGGACCGAACCGACUAAUGUUGAAAAAUUAGCGGAUGACUUGUGGCUGGGGGUGAAAGGCCAAUCAAACCGGGAGAUAGCUGGUUCUCCCCGAAAGCUAUUUAGGUAGCGCCUCGUGAAUUCAUCUCCGGGGGUAGAGCACUGUUUCGGCAAGGGGGUCAUCCCGACUUACCAACCCGAUGCAAACUGCGAAUACCGGAGAAUGUUAUCACGGGAGACACACGGCGGGUGCUAACGUCCGUCGUGAAGAGGGAAACAACCCAGACCGCCAGCUAAGGUCCCAAAGUCAUGGUUAAGUGGGAAACGAUGUGGGAAGGCCCAGACAGCCAGGAUGUUGGCUUAGAAGCAGCCAUCAUUUAAAGAAAGCGUAAUAGCUCACUGGUCGAGUCGGCCUGCGCGGAAGAUGUAACGGGGCUAAACCAUGCACCGAAGCUGCGGCAGCGACGCUGAUGCGUUGUUGGGUAGGGGAGCGUUCUGUAAGCCUGCGAAGGUGUGCUGUGAGGCAUGCUGGAGGUAUCAGAAGUGCGAAUGCUGACAUAAGUAACGAUAAAGCGGGUGAAAAGCCCGCUCGCCGGAAGACCAAGGGUUCCUGUCCAACGUUAAUCGGGGCAGGGUGAGUCGACCCCUAAGGCGAGGCCGAAAGGCGUAGUCGAUGGGAAACAGGUUAAUAUUCCUGUACUUGGUGUUACUGCGAAGGGGGGACGGAGAAGGCUAUGUUGGCCGGGCGACGGUUGUCCCGGUUUAAGCGUGUAGGCUGGUUUUCCAGGCAAAUCCGGAAAAUCAAGGCUGAGGCGUGAUGACGAGGCACU